GACGAACGCUGGCGGCGUGCUUAACACAUGCAAGUCGAACGGAAAGGCCCUGCUUUUGUGGGGUGCUCGAGUGGCGAACGGGUGAGUAACACGUGAGUAACCUGCCCUUGACUUUGGGAUAACUUCAGGAAACUGGGGCUAAUACCGGAUAGGAGCUCCUGCUGCAUGGUGGGGGUUGGAAAGUUUCGGCGGUUGGGGAUGGACUCGCGGCUUAUCAGCUUGUUGGUGGGGUAGUGGCUUACCAAGGCUUUGACGGGUAGCCGGCCUGAGAGGGUGACCGGCGACAUUGGGACUGAGAUACGGCCCAGACUCCUACGGGAGGCAGCAGUGGGGAAUAUUGCACAAUGGGCGGAAGCCUGAUGCAGAAACGCCGCGUGCGGGAUGACGGCCUUCGGGUUGUAAACCGCUUUCGCCUGUGACGAAGCGUGAGUGACGGUAAUGGGUAAAGAAGCAACGGCUAACUACGUG
rnacentral:rRNA from 1 species